ACGCAACCCCAAGAGGUGGCACGCCCUUAUCCGUAGGGAGCGUUUCCGCCAUUUUUGAAAAUUGGUAAGGUCCUGAUUUUAAGUGUAGUUGCCGACGCAAUGGCAGCCUUUGCCGUGGAACCUCAGGGGCCCGCGUUAGGAUCUGAACCAAUGAUGCUGGGUUCACCCACAUCUCCAAAGCCAGGAGUUAAUGCCCAGUUCUUACCUGGAUUUUUAAUGGGGGAUUUGCCAGCUCCGGUGACUCCACAACCUCGAUCAAUUAGUGGCCCUUCGGUAGGAGUAAUGGAAAUGAGAUCACCUUUACUUGCAGGUGGGUCACCACCGCAACCAGUUUUACCAGCUCAUAAAGAUAAAAGUGGCGCUCCACCAGUUAGAAGUAUAUAUGAUGACAUUUCUAGCCCAGGACUUGGAUCAACACCUUUAACUUCAAGAAGACAGCCAAACAUUUCAGUAAUGCAGAGUCCUCUUGUUGGAGUUACAUCUACUCCUGGAACAGGGCAAAGUAUGUUUAGUCCAGCAAGUAUCGGUCAGCCACGAAAGACGACAUUAUCUCCUGCCCAGUUGGAUCCUUUUUAUACUCAAGGAGAUUCUUUGACUUCAGAAGAUCACCUCGAUGACUCUUGGGUGACUGUGUUUGGGUUUCCUCAAGCAUCUGCGUCCUACAUAUUAUUACAAUUUGCACAGUAUGGGAAUAUCUUAAAACAUGUGAUGUCUAAUACAGGAAAUUGGAUGCAUAUUCGUUACCAAUCUAAACUGCAGGCUCGGAAAGCCUUAAGCAAAGAUGGGAGGAUUUUUGGAGAAUCCAUCAUGAUUGGUGUAAAACCAUGUAUUGACAAAAGUGUUAUGGAAAGCAGUGACAGAUGUGCUUUAUCAUCUCCAUCUUUAGCCUUUACACCACCAAUCAAAACUCUAGGUACACCAACACAACCUGGAAGUACUCCUAGGAUUUCUACCAUGAGACCUCUUGCUACAGCAUACAAAGCCUCUACUAGUGAUUAUCAGGUUAUUUCUGACAGACAAACGCCAAAAAAAGAUGAAAGUCUUGUAUCCAAAGCCAUGGAGUACAUGUUUGGCUGGUAGUAGAAGACCAAGGAGGAGGUUGCUACACUAAAACGGAGUUAGCAGAGUGCUGCUGGUUCCUUCGGUCUGCUGGAGUUUGCUGGAGGUCCACUCCAGACCCUGUUUGCCUGGAUAUUACCAGCAGAGGCUGCAGAACUGCAAAAAUUGCUGCCUGAUUCUUCCUCUCAGCUAAACAAGCACUGGCCUGGAGAUAAGCAAGAUGAAACAAUUGCAUCUCAUCCCUUGCUAGACACUGACUAACCCCCUGUUCCACAAGCCGUAACUACAGCUUUGAUUGGACAACAGACUGAUUUCAGUAACUUUCUCUUGAUAAGAUGUCACCUGCCAUGGACUGGUUCUGGCUGGUUUACAGAGGCACUGAAUGCCCUCAUGCCCCUGCUUCACCCUUUGAUGUACAGGGCCUAAUUGUAAUACAUUUAAAUGUUAAGUCUUCAUCCUAAAAUGAACAUGGGUUAUAUGUAACAUCAUGUUUAUUCAGUAAACCCCCUUUGUGAAUCUAGCCACUCCUGCACGCUGUUGAAUAUGUAUGUUUAGACCACCCUUUCAGCAUAAAGCUCCUGCCCUAAUCCCUCCUCCUUUGAAGUGCCCGCCUCUGAGUUUGACCAGAGGCUGCUUCUUAGCUUGCAGGUUGUAACUUCCAUAAGAA